CUGAAAGAAUACAUGAACUAAAGAUAUCUGGCAAAAUGAUACACAUCAACAUUUUAUGGACAAUUGUCACAAAAAAGACAAAUCUGCAGAGUUCGAAAGAUAUGAGUAAAAGGGUGACCCAAUACACAAGGUGUACCACAUUGAGGAUUGUAAAGAUGGUCGAAUGCAUGCAGCCUUUUCUUGGCACUGGAAGGGAGCUGUUUCCAUGGCUUAAAUUCAUGACUUCCGAAUCACAAUAGAGUAUCCUUACUGUUGCACACA
rnacentral:misc_RNA from 1 species